UUGACGGGGACCCGCACAAGCGGUGGAUGAUGUGGAUUAAUUCGAUGCAACGCGAAAACCUUACCUACCCUUGACAUGUCUGGAACCUUGGUGAGGGCCGAGGGUGCCUUCGGGAGCCAGAACACAGGUGCUGCAUGGCUGUCGUCAGCUCGUGUCGUGAGAUGUUGGGUUAAGUCCCGCAACGAGCGCAACCCUUGUCACUAGUUGCCAUCAUUUGGUUGGGCACUCUAGUGAGACUGCCGGUGACAAACCGGAGGAAGGUGGGGAUGACGUCAAGUCCUCAUGGCCCUUAUGGGUAGGGCUUCACACGUCAUACAAUGGUCGGUACAGAGGGUUGCCAAGCCGCGAGGUGGAGCCAAUCCCUUAAAGCCGAUCGUAGUCCGGAUCGUAGUCUGCAACUCGACUACGUGAAGUCGGAAUCGCUAGUAAUCGUGGAUCAGAAUGUCACGGUGAAUACGUUCCCGGGUCUU
rnacentral:rRNA from 1 species